GUCGGGUUCCAAGAUAUGUAGGUCGGGUCACGCAUAUUUGACUUCACAAAUCUAGUGUAUUUAAUUUUACAAGGACCAGAGCAAAAGAUAUCCUCAUUUUUCACUCCUUAGCUUGCCAUCGUCGAGUCAACGCGUACGUGUCGAUUUCAAAGCAAUCACAGAAGAAGAUUUCGGUCUGUUGUGUUUGUUUAGUUAGCAUUUAAAGAUAAUUUCUAUUUUUUCACUUAAGUUCACUUUCAU
rnacentral:lncRNA from 1 species